rnacentral:lncRNA from 1 species
CUGCAAACCUAUCAUCGAAAUAUCUACUCCAUCAAUCAGAAUUCGUCCUCCAGAAGGCUCAACUACCCUGAAGAGAGCUUGGAUUAGAGUGGACUUCCCACUCCCUGUUCUUCCCACAACUCCGAUUUUCUUUUCUCCAGGAAAGGUGCAAGUUAUUCCUUUCAGGACCAUAGGGAGGGUAGGAUUAUAUUGGACAAGAAGGUUUUCAAGUUCAAUUUUUCCACUGCUUGGCCAUUCAGGAGAUGGCCUGCUAUUCUUUAUCACAAGGGGAGCUUCACUUGGUAUGUUUGUGAACUGAAGAAUUCUCUCAACCGAUAUCAUUUUGUUCUCAACAUUGCACAGGUUCCAUAUCACCCAAGCCUGAAGUACAUUCAGGUUCAAACCAUAGGUUGCUGCCAAUCCUGCCAAGCCUGAUAACAGAUCAACAAGGACGUCAGUUGAAAUUGACAUUUAAAUGUUUAAAUGAAUAACAAUGCAUUUCUCAAUUGUUCUUAUUUUGUCACAGCUGUUGGGCUAAUGGAAAUGAAGAGCUGUAGGAACUUACUGGGAUCAAUGGCUGUCCUAGGCAAGGUCACCAAAAUGAUCAGAACAAGGAAGAAAGCAAAGUUGAAAAGAAGGUUAAUUCGAAGGCAUAGCCAUUCCAUUGUUCCGCAGUUGUGGAAGGUGACGCAAGAGUAAUCAUCAAUCAAGCUGUGACUCCUCAGCAAGAAACGAUUUUCCUGAUUAAAACACCGAAUUGUUGUGGCUCCUGCGAUGGAUUCUGAGAAGUGAUGAAGGAUUGGAGCCUUUCUAGUUCCGACCAUUCUUGCCAGUUCUCUAGCAGUGGUAAUAUAAUAAGCCUGCAAAAGAUGGUGGCACCUUGCUGUAUUUACCACCUGAAUAUUUGUAUAGAAUAACAAUCAUAGAAAAGAGAACAAUGAUAAUAACUGACAAUAAUUUUGAAUGAUGCAUAUAUGAUUAUCGUGGUCCUUUUUCCUUCAUCUAUUGUCAUCUAUGAGCUGACUGUAUUGUGACAAACAUGAAAGAGAACGAUUCUAGAAAUAGAUAACUUUCUUGCCUGAUACCAUAUGGAGAUCCCAAGAAUGACAAGGAACAAAGGGAAGACCUGCCAAGCAGCCUGGGACAUAAGGAUGAUUAUGCUUAAUAGCUGAAUUAGUGCAAAUGCUAGGCCAGCUAAUCUGUAGGGAAUGUCCGUGUCCACUGUGCUUUGAUCUGUAGAGCACUGCAAUGACAUAAAAGAAAAGUGAUGCUUAAUUUCUGGUGAUAGGCGUAAAAAAUGAGAAGUAAAACAUAAUUUAACUUGGUAAUAAACAACUGAACUGACCCUGUUGAGGAUUCUGCUUGAAGGUGUGGAGUCAAAGAAUGAAAUAGGUGCUCGGAAAACUGAUGUGAUCAUGUUAAGGAAGAGACGUUGAGCUGUCUUAAUAGCAAUAGUUGCCAACAAAACUGCCCUUCCCAAUAUGAAGAAAGAGCUUCCACCAGACAAGAAGAUAAAUACUCCUAUCAACUGCUCUCUACUGACCUUGCGCUUCUCGUCUGUUGCCCAAGCAAUCCAGUAAUUGCUGCCCAUCUGCAGUGCCUGGAAAAGAACUUGACAAAGAAGAAUAACUGGAACAAGGGCCCCUUUAUACACUAAGGUUAUAAAGGCUGAGUAAACAGUCCAUUUUACUCGACCCAGUUCUGUAUCUUCAUCCUGACUUCUCCCUGAGAACUCGCCACAGCUGAUGGGGCGUGCAAAUCUCUCCUCUGUGAUUUGACUCAUCUGACAAGGUACCCUGGAUAAACAUUUAUCCUCUUGGGGUGGAUUCACUUGAUCUAAUGAUUUUCUGUGGGCCUUCAUUUGUCUAACAAGUUCACUGUUUUGAUCAGCUAUCAAAUCUUCAUAUUUUCCCGAUUGCUCAAUCUUGCCAUCUUUCAUCACCUGUAAGUAUGAAAUUUGAGUAAGAUAUAAAAGGCUUGGGUGAAUGUUCCUUAGAGAUACAGAAUAGAGUACUACAUACCAAAACAAGAUCUGCAGCAUCUAAGAAUUCCAAUUGAUGCGUAGUGUAUAAGACGGUCUUCUGAGACAAGAGCCCCAUGAGACAUUGCUGCAACAAAUUCCAAAAUUUUAGAAAAUUUAUCUAAACCUACUAAAAGAAAGUUUUAACAGAUAUGGUUAAUGGAAAAAAGAAGUUGAUGAAACAAUGAAAACGUUCUUGCCUUGAACAAAUGCGUUCCAGUAUGUGCAUCAACGGCACUAAAAGGGUCAUCGAAGAUGUAAACAUCUGAAUUGCUAUAGACUGCUCGAGCUAGUUGAAUCCUUUGCUUCUGUCCACCACUUAGGUUUAUUCCUCUCUCUCCAACUACACUGAGAUCUCCAUCAGCCCACAUCUCAAUGUCCUGGUUCAAAGCACAUCCCUCUAAGACCUCCUCAUAGAAAGAUUGCCUCAUAUCCUUGCCAAAAAGAAUAUUCUCUCUAAUGGUGCCCGUUUGAAUCCAAGAGCUCUGGGGUACAUAUGCCUUUUUUCCAUGAACCUUAAUUGCAGCUCCGGAUAUCCUGGGAAUCUCACCUAGUAUACUGCUAAGCAGGCUUGAUUUGCCUGACCCAACAGAUCCACAAACUGCAACCUUGGAACCUUUCAUUAUUUUCAUUUUAUCUGUAAGUUUAAUUGUAGGCUUCUUAAAGUUUUCUUCGCUUGCAUCCCAAGCAUAUUCCCCUGCUUCAAUAUCAAUAGCAACAUCAGAUGCCUUUGAUGUAGGCUCUGUUAUUGGCUUCUUUUGGUUGUCUUCUUUGAUGAACUCCUGGAUACGAUAAAGGGAGACCUUAGUCUGAGCAAUCAUGGAGAUUAGCUCUGGCAAGUUGUAUAUUGGUUCUUGAAGGAUUCUGAAAGUUGCUAAAGCAGAGAGAACUGCACCUGAUGUCAAUGGUGUUUUCAACAAAAUGCAAACUCCAAAAGUGAUUACAGAAACUAAGGUCGGUGAAGCCCAAAAGAGAAAAGCAAUUGCUGAACAUGUAUACAGGUACUUCUUCAGUGAGUCUCUCUCAAUUUCUCUAAGUCGCAGAAGCUUCUUCAAAAAUUCCUGCUCCCAAGAAAGCAAUUUUAACACUCUCAUGCUUUUUAGAGUCUCUGAGGUUGCCUUAAUUCUUGCAUCUUUAGCUUCCAUGAUCAUGGAAUGAAACCUUUCUUGCCUAUUUGCCAAUGGUGUGUUGCUCACCAUGACAAAAAUUGUAGAAAAGAGAGCAGCGAAGGCGGGAGCAGCACCCAGAUUCUUAUACAGGAUAACAAGAGCCAAAAAGACCUGGACUGGUAGCAACCAAAUUCUGUGAAUGUACAAGAAGAAGUCUCCAAUCCUCUCAACAUCCACAUUGAUCAUAUUUAUUAUUAUACCACUACUGGGACCUGCAAACUUAAUUGCCAUAGAUCUCUUGUAAAUCAGCACCGUGAGAGCUGACCUUACUCGUAUUCCAAUUCGAUUAGCACCGAAAUACCAUUGUCUUUGAGUUAGUGACUCUACUGUCUUUGCAAAGAGAAAAACUGACGCUAGGACUAGUCCGUCGUGGUAACUUGAGUGGUCAUGCUUUCCCGACAGAAAACUCACAAAGUUUGUGAUUAAAAAUGGACCAAUAUAGGACGCGAUUGUGUUAACUCCUACAAAUUACAAACCUUCAAAGUAAGCAUAUAGAAUUUGUCGUACAAAAUCUGCUGAGUAACAGAAGACUGAAAAUAGGUACCUGCAAAAGCAGCAUUCAGAGCCAAAGAUUUCCAUACAGCAUGAAUUAUGACUUGAGGCAGUGAAGUUGCGUCCGUUUUCUGUUUGCGAAGCGAUUCUUCCAGCAGUGAUGAAGCAUCGUUUGCUGUCUCAGAUUGAGGAAUAGGAGGAAUAUGAAGCAACUCAAGUUUCUGGAUCCUGCCCCUCUGAAAAAGUUGAUUGAGCCACUGAAAUGUGAUUUUGCUCAAAACUCCAGCACUUGCAAAGGUGCUAAUAUUUUUGCAUAAAAACUCGUCAUCCUCCUCUCGAAGUAAUGGAAUGUCAAGGUCACUGGGAUCUCUAGCACAACAACAUGCAUAUGUAGCAUUGAAACAAAGCAGAACCAGCAAGGGCAAUGACACAAAAUCAACAGCUUUAGCUUCUGGCAAAAUAUGAGGCAAUCCUAUGGAGCUCAAAUGGGUUAAAAGAUAAACAGAAACACAAACCAAAACAAUAACCAAAUGAACUACCCACCAAAGAACAAGCACUAAAGGCCACCUUUUGUGCUCUCCAAGGGUUCUGUAAUAUCUUGAACACAAUGCAACUACAGUUGCUAGAGCCCAAGUCACAACCAAGGAGACAGAUUUAAAAGAAACAAUUCUAAAAUUCCAAUACUCGUAGAAUCCAAAACCCAGAUACAAAAUGAAGAUUAAAACAUUGCAAAGGACAAUAACUAGACCAGCUGCUCUACGUGCCAUUAGUAUAUAACCAUCAUCUCUCCUACGUUUCAAAAUUUCUAUCCAGAGACGCGUAAAUAGCCCAAUGAAAAACGCCACAUUGACGCUCUCCAGGACCUUAUCCGCUGAAACUAACUCUAAAUUUUGGAAAUAUCCCAUAACUGGUUAACUACGGCAAAGAGAAUUCCCAAUGAACAACACCUGCCAGGAAAUUACAAAUUGUAAAACAAUGAGAACCCAUUGCAGAUAAGAUGAUAAAGAAUAAAAAACAAAGCACCCAUUAUGAUAAACUGCACGAAAAAUUUAACAUUAAUUCAGGGAAAAAAAAAAACCUGUUAAAAAUGUAAUGUAGGAGGCUGCACGUGGUUGUUCUUUAAAUGGUCAGUGGCUUACACAUUUGCAGAGUUUGUGGUGGGACUAAUGGAAUCCGAACGUAUAAAUAAACACACACAAAACAAUCACGUUCGAUAGCGGCAGCAUCUUUGUCAUCCCUAUCGCUUUCAUCUACAAUAAGGCCCAAAUCCCUUAUGAAAUACGUUUUAUUAUUAAAUUAUGUGACCAGAAUCUUACUAGCCUCUAUGUCAUGUAUAUGUAUUAAUUUUCUCUGCACCCUGUUCAAGGCUGUCAAUUUUUACUUGGUAGACUAAUGAUUUUUCAAUUAUGUCGUCAUUCCAAGCACAUUGUGUCUUACUUAUGUUUUUCUUCACUCUUUUGAAUUAAGAGAACGACAAACAAUGAUUGUGAUUCUAUUCGAUAUUUGAAUUUCAUGCCAUAUUUGUUUAAUAUGCUGAUAUUACACUAGGGUUAGUCAGAAGCUAUUCAUACAACUAUGACAUAAUCCCAAGUCCAUCGUGCAUAAGCUCAAUUUACGCCAAUAAAAAGAUAAUUUAGAAACUGCUUUCAUCUUUCUUUCCGAAUAACCGUGAAAAAUAAGAAUAAAAAAUCAAUGAGUGUCUUUUUUUUUGUUUUUGUUUUAUGUGACGCAUGCUUUAAUUAAUUUACAUAUGGUUUUUAUUUUUUAAUAUUACAUUAGUUGAAUUCAAAUUUAUUAAUAUAUUGAUAAAUACAUUAGAAAGUUAUGUCGAAAAUAUAUCAUAGUUUUGGGGGGAAAAAAAAUCACCACUAAAAAUUGUAUAAAAUUUGACACUUUUGCUUAACAGCCACUACUAGUCAGGGCGGCCAAAGUACUUGGCUUCGUCCUAUUGCCUUCAUGUUUCCAUAAUUAGAGCAUACAAAUCUCUGAUUUAAUUCUGUAAAUUACCCAUAAUUGGGAGCCUUGAAAAGUCAACUUCACAACAUUAAUUCCACAUCUCAUGGUAAUGGCAAUGGCGCUAACUCAAAUCCCACACGUUUAUUCGACAACUGGACUGCACCAUACCCAUACAUGCAUUGCCUAGAACUCAAUUUGCACAGGAUUUAAUUGAUGGAUUAAACCCUAACCCUAACCUACAGAUAAUUCCAAGGGUACCAAGAAGGGACUCGACUUCGAGAGUAUUUUACGAACAAAAAUUCUAUCAAACUUCUAAAGAAAAAACUGAUGGGUUGUUAAAUCAAACAUUAUUGAAUUAACUUUAAUAAAAUGUCUGAUGGCUAAUACGUAUUCUUCUGUAUUACAUACGUAGAAUGCACGUGAAGGAAUUGUUUUGUUUUUUUUCUCCUUUUUGUAUUUUGUUUUUUUGUGUAAUCAAAAAGAGGAUCCUGACCCUUUGUUUUCUGAAAAAUUAAAAAAAAAAAGAAAAAAAAAAAAGAGAGAGAGUUUUCGCAAACAGAAACAACUCACGUGGCGGCGUGUGGAUGAUAAAAGCGAACACACUGUAAAAAUUAGCACAGCACGUGGAAUGGAAUUGUCCCCAGACACGUCACAUUACCACGCGGACCCCCUAGUUGACAUGUCACUUCAUUUGUUACCUUUAAAAAAAUAUUAUAAUUAAUUAAUCUAUUAAUAAUAAUUUUUUCAUUAAAUUAUUAUUAUUAUUAAUUAACGAUAAUAAAAAUUAUUAAUUAAUUUUUUAAAUAAUAAUAAUAACAAUAAUUAAAAUAGAAAAUAAUAAUUAUGAUAAAAAUUAAUUAAGAAUUUUAUAAUAAUUUAUUACAAUUUAACUCAUUAUGAUUUUAAUUAUAAGACAAAAUAAACACAUAAAUUGUAAUACAACUCAUUCGAAUUACGAUUUUUACAGUUUAAGUAAAUAAAUUAUUCUGAUUCUAAUUCCUCAUUUCGAUUCUAACUAUUAUAAUUCUAAUUCUAACUCAUUAUGUUUCUAGCUAGUUUUGAUUCAUGUUUAGUGAACACACUAUAAAAUUAUAAACCACUUCAUACUCAAUUAGACCACUCCAUAUUAUUUACAAUUUAUUCAUAAGUAUUAUGAUUUUUAUAAUGCAUUCACUAAACAAGAAUCGAAAUAAUAAUAAUAAUAAUAAUAAUAAUAAUAAUAAUAAUAAUAAUAAUAAUAAUAAUAAUAAUAAUAAUAAUAAUAAUAAUAAUAAUAAUAACAAUAAUCUAUUUAAAAAUUAUAAUUAUAUUUAUAGUUAUAAUAAAAUAAUUAUUAUAAUUAUAAUUAUAAUUCAUUUAAUAAUAAUUAUAUUUUUUUUAUUACACAAAAUUAAAGGUUUCAAAAGAUUCUCUUGAACAAAAUUCUUCUAUUGAGAUAAUACUUGUCUCUCUUAUCUUAUUUGAAAAAUCUCAUUUAAAUAGUUUUUUUUGGGUGAUAAUGUAAGUUAUAUUAAUUAUAACUUAACAAGACUUAUUUUGCAAUAUUUUCGUAUCCGUCCAUCAUUCCAUCUCAUAUGUGAUUUGUAUAUACUACAAAAUUUUCAUCACACAUUUCAAGUUUUACGUUUUAUAUCUUAAAUUAAACUAUCCGUUUGUAAGCAUAAUAAACUACUUUAGAUACGAUCAAUCACUUAUUGGUAAUCUUUUCUUUUAAUUCCUGUAUUUUAUUGUCAAAACUUUAUGCCUAAAUCAAAUUUGUUUAUGGCCAAACGUGGUGAUGAUCCUAAAUUUGGCUAAGUAGACAACAAAAGUCCAAGGUGUGGAAAAUGUCAAAAAACUGUGGAAAAAAUGGAUGCAACUUUAUCUGAAGUUUGAACGAUUAUUCAAAAAUGGGAGUCAAGUCAGGCUGGCCGCGGGAUUCAAUUUUUAUAUGUUCGGUGAAUUUGGGGGCUGAUCGGCUAAUGGGACAGAGAAAAAAAAAAGGCGCAUUAUGCAGUUUGCCGAUUUUUAUAAAAUUAUUUGUGUUGUCUCGUGCUGCAACUUCUGUAUUGGGGGUAGCCUACUUUAGUAGAGGAUUAUAACAAUGACAUUAUUCAUUUCCCUGUACAAACAUUAUCUUUUGAAGCAUUCAUUUUAUUAUAUAAUUAAGGAAAAUUAUCAUUCGAAUAUUUUAUAUUUACUAUAUUAUUAAAAAUAUUAUAAUAUUUUGAGAAUGUAUCAAUUGUCCACCCUUAGUUGACAAAAUGUAUCAGCUUACUACCAAACGGUUAGUUGCCGUUUGAAAGUUAGCGGAAUUACAGUGAAUUGAUGAUUUUACCCUUGAAAAUAAUCACUUGUAUAUCCUUAAAUUCUCUUUUUAUCACUUGUAUACCCUUAAAUUAUCACUUAUAUCAUAUGAAAAGACUAAAUUACCAUUUUGACGUCAUCAUACUUAAACGGCAACUAACGGUUUGGUGGUCAGCUGAUACAUUUUGUCAACUUAGAGUGGACGAUUGAUACACCCUCAAAAUAUUAUAAUAUUUUUAAUAAUAAAAUAAACUAAGAAUAUACAAAUAAUAAUUUCUCUAUAAUCAAUUAUCAAUCAAACAACUCAUCACGUGACCCUUUUUUAUGAUGAUAAUAGGCAUGUAUAGCUGGGCCCAUUAUUCCUUGGAUUCACUGCUCCAAGUUAGCUUCUGACCAACCACUGCACCCCUAUGACAAAGCAAAGUUAAAAUAAUGAUAAUUAAUAAAAGUGUUAAACUGAUUAUUUUUCUUUUACCCUUUACUUUUUCAAGCUAAAAACUCAAAGUCCACUCUCUCUCUCUUUUAUAAUCUCUAUUGUUCUUUAACAUGAAUAUAUUUUUAAACAGUAAAAUUUAGAAGAAUUAAUUUUUAACUCUUUUAAAUCACAUGAUUUAAUAAUAUAUUUAUAUUAAAAAAAUACAAUUGUUUGUGCACUCACGCGCGCGCGUGCACACACACACACACACACACACACACACACACAUAUAUAUAUAUACAUAUAUGUAUAUGUAUGUAUAUAUGCAUGUAUAUUUGCUUUUUAUCAAACAAGAGGAUAAACAACCUAGAGAAGAAUGGUCAGAUAUUGACCUGCCGCAACUGGAGAUAAUGGACGAAGAUGAGCUCAUAGAACAACAACUAGCUUGAUGGGAAGAGGAGUGGUCUACACCGAGCUUGGUCUACAAAUGGAAGCAUUACUGGCUGAAUGAAAGCGUAGUGGAUCCUAUCAACAGAAGCAAUAGUGAAUAGUUACCAAUAAAUAAACGACAAGUAUGUGAAGUCAUCGAGUUGUAAAGUAGAUUUCUUAGGAUAAAAAUGUAUUGUGUGAUGUAAUAUAAAAGUAGUGAUGAGUUAUAAAAUAUAUUAUUUUAGGGUAAGAAUGUAAUGAUAUAAAUAGUAAAAAGAAAUUUCCUUGGUGCCUAUAAAAGAGACUCCGUGGCAGUUUGUUGGAUUAUGGAGUUUUGAAGGCUUGAGUUGUAAUAAAGAGUCAAUUGGUGAAAUCUUAUAUUCUUUUUUCUUGUAAUAAAAUCAUGUCACUUGUUUUCUUGCCAAGAAAUUUCGUUUUAUUGCUUUUUAUAGUACUCCUAGAAGCAUAGUAAGAUUAUCAGGAUCAUCUUAACUCAGCAUAAAUUCUCUUUGGGCUCGUGUUAAAAUUUUGGAACUCGUGUUUUUCAUUCUUGACCUUGUUCCUCUUGCAUGCCCUCUAGUUGCUGGAUUGUUGACCAAUAAAUAAGCAACAAAUGUGUGAAAUCACUUGUAUUGAGUAGUAAAAUAGAUUCUUACAGAACUCAAUAUUUAACAUUAUGUAAUAUAAUAUAAAAAUAGUAAUGAGUCAUAAAAUAAUUUUUGUUAGAAUAAAGAUGUUAUGAUGUUUUUAUUUUAUUUUCAUGGGAACAUAUUUUUAAACUGUAAAAUUCAAGAAAAUUAUUUUGUUUUUCUCUUAUAUGGAAAGGUUUAACAAUGUAUCUGUACGGCACUUAAUUAUUUGAUUUUGAUAACAGACAAGGGGAGAAACAGUGCCGCCAGCGAUGCCUACCAACCAAAAAGCCAGCUAUUGCUUUUGGUUUGCGUAUGGAGAAAAAGCAUGCAAUUCUUUUUGUUUGGUAGCUAGCUAACCAAUCAGGAGCUGGCUAAGUUGGAUCUGUUUGUUACAGAAUCUGUAACUUAACCAGCUCCUUUAAUUAUUAUGACAAAGACUAACAAGAGUAAUAAUUUUUAAUAAAUUAUUAUGAAAUUAUCCCCAUCUCAAAAGAAACACGUGUCCAAGUAAUUAGGAUCCCACCUUGCAUAGUCAAUAAUUAUGCACCUGAAACUAAUCUACGUAAUUGCGGUGACGAAGAUGGAAACUAAAGUGAGUUACGUCAAAAUUCAGAUAUAUUUUUUUUUAAAUAAAAAAAAUAUCAUCCAAACUGAUAAAUAUCAAGAAGACACCAUUUGAUCGAUUAUGGAUAAACAUCUACUGAUCAAUUAUGAAAACAAAAAAGGUCACUAAAUUUAGUUCAGAUAAGAUAAGGUGAAUAUCUGCAUGCUGUGAUCCAAAUUGCAAGAUUUUAUUGGAUCCAAUCCUUUGACAGAAUCUUUUGAUUUUUUAUUUUUUUUUGUCGCGUAAUACGUAGGAUUGUGAAGGCACUACAAUUCUAUCCCAAACUUCCCAUCCAAACCCACUGAAGCUGAAAUGUGAAAUGCAUCCAAAAGCAAAAGUUGGAAUGGCGAUAAAAAAUGAAAAUAACUUAACGUGCACGAUGAAUGACCAAAUCCGAAUUCUCAAUGUAUCUGGAAGAGAUAGGCAUCAUUUGAACUAGCCAUAUUUGAUUUUGGGACCUGUCUUCAACUCAAUAUUUAACAUUAUUCAAUUUGGGUCCAUUUCACGGAGUAAAGGAGGAGGCUUCAACUAAUUAGAGGACUUUUUAUAAUUAAAAAAUAGUAGUAAUGUUUUGAAACCCGAACGCUCUCAAGUUGAUGAGUCUUUGUGCUGACUCCUACGUCUCAUCAUUACAUCAAUCUCCACUUUACUUUUUUUUUUUUAAUUACGCAAGACUUAAUUACUUAAGAUUAUCAUUCAGAGUAUAAUUCAUAUUACACGAAAUUUUAAUUAAUAUUUAUAUAUCAAAUUAUUAUUGAUCCGCUAAUCUUUAAAUAGUCGAAAGAUAUUUAUUCCAUUCAUACUUUUGUAAUAAAAAAACUACUUUCAGUUAAUUAUAUUUUAUAAUUAAAAAAAAUUACCCUCAUAAUGUAUUGGAGGACAGCAAUCCUCACCACUCGGUCAUCUUCACUUUACUUUCACUUCCUAUUUAUCCAGUCAUAGAUGAUGACCUAAACGAUAUCAAGCAUGAAACAUCAUUGAUAGGAUUUUUUUGGGGUACACAGUGCACACCCUCAAACACCCAUGGCCUGAUAUGAGCAAUUACCCAGUAUUUGUGGUAGAAACUAGAGAGUAGAGACAAUACAUGCAUGUGCUACACAGUACCAUCCAGUUGGGGUCUUAUUUUUGAGAGGCGCCAGUCUUUUAUUGUUAUUAAUUUUUAUUUAUUUUCUAUAAAUCAAAUUACGCUGCAGAAUCUUGGGAAUAUACGUGCUGAUUCCUUGGUCCGAGAAAACGACUGACGUACGACGAUAUAUCAGAGCUCCAAUCACAAGAACAAGAUGAAGAUGCGAGAAGUAGUCGGUAACAUAUUUAAGAAACAGAAAACGAAAUUAAUGUUACCAAAAUGAGGAUAUAGAUGUGCACAUCGUGUCGUCAUCUUUGAGAAUCUGCCAUCUAUCCCCCACUUUAGCACUGUAGAGAAAUUAAUGGACCACGUAUUUUUUCCUAGAAGAUUCAUUUCUCUCAUUUAUAUUGUUUCUCCUAAUUUAUCGGAAUUGUCAACAUUCAAAUUUAAACCUCAAUCUUCUCCACUUAUUACUCCACUUAUUAAACCAAGAGAAGUUUGAACCUGGGAGAAAAAAAAACAAGAAAUAGGAUCCUAACCCCCAUACUAAUUAUUCAUUUUUAUAUAUUUUUAGUGGAAUACAAGUUAUAUUAAAUGUAACUUAGACAAAUCCUAUAAAUUAAUGUUUUCUUUUCCUGUGUCUUGAAUAUAUCCUAUAAAUCCCAUACUAAUUAAGUUCUAUCAAAAUUGUAAUAAUUGUACAUUUUAGUGCAUCUCACAUCAAACGUGUCUUGAAUUUAUUCCAGGACCCUUCAAUUUUGGAGUAGCAUAAUGAUAAUUCUCUGAAAAAGAAUCUCGUAGGCCAUAGCAAUAGUCUUAGUCCAAUACCGCAGCCCCAGCUUAGGCCGUUAUCGAGGGGCAUACUUCAAAUAUUGUGACGUUCCAAUUAUGGUGGAAUUCAGAGAUUUUGAGAGUCUUGGUCAUGAUUCAUGAAUGUGGAGAAAGCUGAGGUGUGUCUAGCUUGUCUACGUCCACAUGAUUUAUGAUUCCUUCUGCUAUCAUACAAAGAUGGACAGCAACCAAGACCGAUCUAGGAUUGUGAAUGUUCAUGUGGCCAAACAAGGCAUAGAUAGCGACAUUAACAUACAGUAUUACAGUGCAAGGCAAAGCUAGGCUAAUCCAUUUGACGCGAUCAUUCCUUUUAGCUUCCCUUUUACUGGGCUUCAAAGAGAAUGAUAGGCUCGUUAUGCAAAAUUCCCGCAUCAAAAUCGGACUUACAAAUUAAAAUUUCCAGGAAAAGCUAUUACGCCCCAAAAAUGUGCCUCAGCGGCAGGCAUUACCCCUUUCUGCGUUUGAAGAAAUUUGGUAUGUGUGAAUUGUUGCCAGACAACCAGGCUGUUGAUGUUUGAUCUGAUGUCCCCAUUUUAGAUGAUAACGCUUCUGUUUAGAAUAUAAUUUAACCACAAUUUGCAAGAGAAGAGUUCCUUCAGGAAUUGGGGGAGCUUGUACUAUUAACAUCGAAUCAACAAUUUUCAAAUGCAUUUUAUUGAAUGGUCAUUUGCUUUUAACACAGUCUGUAUAUGAACUACUGUUGUGUUAAUAUAUGAUUUUUUUUUUAAAAAAAAAACCGGUGGUCUAUAUUUGCUUCAGAAUCCUAGUGGACAUGUUAAAUUUUUUUUCUGAUUUGCCAGUUGUUAGCAGGGAGGGGCGGUCGCUGUUCUGUUUUUGGGUUACUUUUGGAUGAUCUUCUCAAUCAUUCUGCCACUAACUUCGAGAAAGAAGAACAACUAUCCUCAAGUAAUCGCCUUGCAGAGUCAUACUCCACAACUUUACCUGCAUCAACACAAAAUAUAUACUUGUUGAUAUAUCUAUCAUAAACGUAUGUGUGUAUGUUUGCAUACAUACACACAUAUACGUAUGUAUGUAUGUAUGUAUGUUUGCAUGCAUACAUACAUAUAUGAUAUUUUUACCUCCCGGAUUUCUUGAUCAGAAUGCUGUUCCAGAGGAUCAUAUAGCUUGUCUACCUAGAUCUUAAGUCCUGCAAACCUAUCUUCGAAAUAUCUACUCCACCAAUCAGAAUUCGUCCUCCGGAAGGCUCAACUACCCUGAAGAGAGCUUGGAUUAGAGUGGACUUCCCACUCCCCGUUCUUCCCACAACUCCGAUUUUCGUUUCUCCAGGAAAGGUGCAAGUUAUUCCUUUCAGGACCAUUGGGAGUGUAGGAUUAUAUUGGACAAGAAGGUUUUCA